rnacentral:lncRNA from 1 species
UCAUAUCAUGUGCUUGUUGAUCAAGCUGAGUAAUUUUUGUGAAGCAAAAUCUGUAAAACAAUAAUUCAAAAGAGUAAACAAAUGAGAGGCAAGUAGGCAAUACAUGCAUAUUGGUGCUACGUAUGCAGUAAUAAAAUUUACAACACCUUCGGCAAAAAGAAGUGGAACAAUAUAAGAAUGAUCUUCACGGUCAUCUCUUGCAACUCCUACAUGAAUUAUAAUGUUACAUGAAUUAGAUGUUAAAACAUUCUCGUCUGACAAAUAAAAUAAUUUUAUAGAAUUCUAGAAAGUACCUUCCUCUAUAAUAGAGACGAUGAAAGGCAUCAUCAUCUUAUGAAAUGAAUUAUAGAAGAAAAGAAGAGCUCACCGCGGUACAGUUUUGAACGACUAAAUGCUUUCUUCAGUUAAGAAUCUCAACUUCAAAGUUUUAUCACAAAGAACCUGAUCAGAAAGAAAAGAAAAAUCAAUCUAUAGUUUCUUCACCACUUCAAUGAUUAUAGAGAAAAUGCAAUUAGUGACACUUUUAAUUAAGGAACAGAUUCAUAUAUCUAGAUGACUAUGAGUAAGGCAAUAACAUUUUCUAGAGUACUAUGAGUCUAUGAAAUUACACAUGUUUGAUGUAAAUAGGAUCAGAGACAACGAAACUAAUAUAAAAGAGAAAGAGAAGUGCAAAUAUCCCGAUGACAAAAGCACAAUCGUUGCUUUGGGAACCGAGCUUUUCUCUCGCUUGCGAACAACUCUCCAAAUCUAGUUUUUCUUUUUUUUCUCGAUCUGCUCUUCAUAGUUGGUCACAGUCAAUCGAAAGUAAUCCAUGGUGAGUAGCUCCUCUUCUCUGUCAACGGUGGUGUGGUCUCUUCACCGAUGUGGGUGUGGCGAUGGAUGUGCGGUGGUAAAUCUCCUCAGCGCAUGUUCUCGUUUUGAAGACGGCGGGAAGCUUUGGAGAUUUAUUGGUUCAGCCGUUCUCUCCGGCAGCUGCGUCUACGGCGGAAGUUGGUGAAAGAGUAGGUGGGUUCGUUGUUAGACGAGGUGGUUAACGGUAGAUCUGUUAGAUCUUAGAUGGCAGAGGUGGAGUUUUUGGUUUCUUUCGGCGUGCUUGAGCCACCGUCGCUUGAAGCCGCCAUCUCUUAGCAUCCUCCCGUCCAGAUCGAGGAGGAGCUACUCGGAUUCUUGAAGAGAUCCGGUUAAGGAGGAAGAAGGAUAGAUCUGAGAGUGUUGAGUUGCUAGGUCAGGACUUGACACCGCGGAACCGUGUUGUCGGGGUGACUAGCUUUCCGGGAGGUUUGUAGCGGGUCAGGUGCGGUGGAGGAAAGGAGCCGCCGGCGAAAACCGGUCUCUUUCAACAGUGGUUUUCAAUCCUUCAUCGUGGCCGCAAAGCUGUGGAUCUUGAGCCCGCCGGAUCUAAUGCUCCGGUCACUCUGCCUCCGGCGAGCAGCAGGGUCCGAGUUCUUUUUCUUUUUCUGGUAAUCUAGGGUUUCCUUUGCUAAUGGGUUUAUUUCGUGUAAGGCUUGGCCCAGCCCAUUUGGGAAGUUUCGAAUUAUUAAUAAAAUUAUAUUAAAAAAAAAAAAAAAAAAAAUAUCCCGAUGACAGUAAGAAAGUCAUGAAUUAUAUGAAAAAAUAGAAUGAGGAAAAGUGCUGACGCAGAGUAAGAGAAAGUAAAGAAUGAUUAAAAUUGAGUUUACCGUGUUGAUUAAAUGGAAGAUGAAACAGUUUGAAUAGUGAGAUGGUUUUACAAAUUUGUGUCAUCGUGAGAUCAAAACGUGGUGUUGGUGUAAGAAGUAUAAUGCGCAAGUGCUUGGCAAGAGAAUGAAUUUUAUAAUUAUAAUCACACUAACGUUUAUGUACCUUAGAAUUGCUUCAAUACGUAGAACUACAGAUCUUUUGAAUGAAAAUUUCAUGUUCCGGAUAAGUUUUGAUCUUCCAUUUAAAUAUGAAGAUUAUACUCCAGAAGUAUUUUCCACCUGAAUAUAAAUCAGAAUCAAUAUGAAUUCAAGAGAAAAUGUAUAGCUAUGAACAAAAACUAAAAGAUUUACCUGCCCGAAAAUUGUGAAUUGUAACUGUAGUUUAUAACAGAAGAAAAACAAAAU